AACUUUUACUGGUGCCCUUCGGGGAGAAUAGGGAAUUCGGUGCAAAUCCGAAACGGACCCGCCGCUGUAAAUGGUUGUGAAAACCGCAUGAUGCCACUGAGAAAUCGGGAAGGCGCGGUGAUCGGAAAAAACCAUGAGUCAGAAGACCUGCCUGUAAAAUAAA
rnacentral:ncRNA from 1 species